rnacentral:snoRNA from 1 species
UCAAAUACUAUGAUGAAAUUCUUACCCAUUUUCUCGACUAGCUACGGCGAUGUUGUCGAAAUAUCACCAUCUUUCGCCUGACGUUUGA